rnacentral:lncRNA from 1 species
UGCUGGCUGCGAGUAAGGCCUCGUUCCAUGUUCCCACUCCGUGGGAGGUUGGGCAGGGUGGUCCUGCCCCGUGGCCUCCUGCAGUGCGGCCCUCCCUGCCUUCUAGGCGACGCAGCCCUGUUGCGCUUCCGGCGCCUGCUGGUGGCUGAGCUGCAGCGCGGCUUCUUUGACAAGCACAUCUGGCUCUCCAUACGGGACCGGCCGCCUCGUAGCCAUUUCACUCACAUCCAGAGGGCCACCUGCUGCGUUCUCCUGGGCGCCAACGCCGUGUGGUACGGGGCUGUUGGCGACUCUGCCUACAGCACGGGGCGUGUGUCCAGGCUGAGCCCGCUGAGCGUCGACACAGUCGCUGUUGGCCUAGUGUCCAGCGUGGUUGUCUAUCCCGUCUACCUGGCCAUCCUCUUUCUCUUCCGGAUGUCCCGGAGCAAGGUGGGCUGGGGCUGGGGACCCGGGAGUACUGGGAAUGGAGCCUGGGCCUUGGCACCAUGCCCAGGGCCACUUUCCAGUGCUGCAGCCGGAGGGAAAGGCAUCCACCAAAGGCUGCUCGGGAAGGGUCAACACACUUGAGCAGCCUUAGCUAGACCAGGGAGAAAGAGAGAAGACUCAGAAGCCAGAAUCGUGAAAGAACGAGGGCACUUUGCUAAGCAGACGCCACGGACAACUGCACAGCAGCACGCCAGAUAACUCAGAAGAAGCAAGCACGCGGCUGUGCAUGCUUCCGAAAUGCACUCCAGAAGAAAAUCUCAGUACAUCUAUAGCAAGUGAAGAGGCCGAGUUAGUCCCUUAGAAACCUCCCAGUGGCCGGGCCGGGUGUGGUGGCUCACGCCUGUAAUCCCAACACUUCAGGAGGCCGAGGUGGGCGGAUCUGAGUCCAGGAGUUUGAGACCAGCCUGGGCAACAUAGCAAGACCCCAUCUAUAUAAAAUAUUAAAAAGGGCCAGGCGCGGUGGCUCACGCCUGUAAUCCCAGCACUUUGGGAGGCCGAGGCGGGCAGAUCACUUGAGGUCAGGAGUUCGAGACCAGCCUGGCCAACACAAUGAAACCCCGUCUCUACUACAAAUACAAAAACUUAGCUGGGCAUGGUGGCGGGCACCUGUAGUCCCAGCUACUCGAGAGGCUGAGGCAGGAGAAUGGCAUGAACCCAGGAGGCGGAGCUUGCAGUGAGCCGAGAUUGCGCCACUGCCCUCCAUCCUGGGCAACGGAGCAAGACUCCGUCUCCAAA